rnacentral:rRNA from 1 species
UACGGAGGGUGCAAGCGUUAUCCGGAUUUACUGGGUUUAAAGGGUGCGUAGGUGGAUUGGUAAGUCAGUGGUGAAAUCUCCGGGCUUAACUCGGAAACUGCCAUUGAUACUAUCAGUCUUGAAUAUUGUGGAGGUCAGCGGAAUAUGUCAUGUAGCGGUGAAAUGCUUAGAUAUGACAUAGAACACCAAUUGCGAAGGCAGCUGACUACGCAUAUAUUGACACUGAGGCACGAAAGCGUGGGGAUCAAACAGG